GACGAACGCUGGCGGUGUGCUUAACACAUGCCAGUCGAACGGUGAAGCUCCAGCUUGCUGGAGUGGAUCAGUGGCGAACGGGUGAGUAACACGUGAGCAACCUGCCCCUGACUCUGGAAUAAGCGCUGGAAACGGCGUCUAAUACUGGAUACGAGAAGGGUCCGCAUGGGCACUUUCUGGAAAGUUUUUCGGUUGGGGAUGGGCUCGCGGCCUAUCAGCUUGUUGGUGAGGUAAUGGCUCACCAAGGCGACGACGGGUAGCCGGCCUGAGAGGGCGACCGGCCACACUGGGACUGAGACACGGCCCAGACUCCAACGGGAGGCAGCAGUGGGGAAUAUUGCACAAUGGGCGAAAGCCUGAUGCAGCGACGCCGCGUGAGGGAUGACGGCCUUCGGGUUGUAAACCUCUUUCAGCAGGGAAGAAGCGAAAGUGACGGUACCUGAAGAAGAAGCACCGGCUAACUACGUG
rnacentral:rRNA from 1 species